rnacentral:rRNA from 1 species
CCCUUAGAUGUUCUGGGCCGCACGCGUGCUACACUGAGUGGAUCAGCGGGUCAGGUUGCGCGAAAGUGUUUCCUAAUCUUGAAAUCCGCUCGUGAUGGGGAUUGACGGUUGCAAUUUUCCGUCAUGAACGAGGAAUACCUUGUAAGCGCGGGUCAUCAUCCCGCGCUGAAUACGUCCCUGCCCUUUGUACACACCGCCCGUCGCUCCUACCGAUUGAGUGGUCCGGUGAGGCUUUGGGAUCUGAGCAAAGAGAGCGUUUCGCUGUUUCUGCUCGGAAAACUCAGUCGAACCUUAUCAUUUAGAGGAAGGAGAAGUCGUAACA